UACGUAGGGGCGCAAGCGUUGUCCGGAAUUAUUGGGCGUAAAGAGCUCGUAGGCGGCUUGUCACGUCGGGUGUGAAAGCCCGGGGCUUAACCCCGGGUCUGCAUUCGAUACGGGCAGGCUAGAGUGUGGUAGGGGAGAUCGAAUUCCUGGUGUAGCGGUGAAAUGCGCAGAUAUCAGGAGGAACACCGGUGGCGAAGGCGGAUCUCUGGGCCAUUACUGACGCUGAGGAGCGAAAGCGUGGGGAGCGAACAGG
rnacentral:rRNA from 1 species